rnacentral:rRNA from 1 species
ACUGAAACAUCUAAGUACCCGGAGGAGAAGAAAACAAAAGUGAUUCCGCUAGUAGCGGCGAGCGAACGCGGAUUAGCCCAAACCACAGUUGUUACGGCAAUUGUGGGGUUGUAGGACCACGACAUUUGAUGCUAAACGAACUAGAAUCUACUGGAAAGUAGGACCAUAGAGGGUGAUAGUCCCGUAUAGGUAAGUUGAGUUAUUGAUAGUGGUAUCCUGAGUAGUGCGGGGCACGUGAAACCCUGCAUGAAUUUGCCGGGACCAUCCGGUAAGGCUAAAUACUCCUGAGAGACCGAUAGUGAACCAGUACCGUGAGGGAAAGGUGAAAAGAACCCUGAAUAAGGGAGUGAAAUAGAUCCUGAAACCAUACGCUUACAAGCGGUCGGAGCAGACUUGAUCUGUGACGGCGUGCCUUUUGCAUAAUGAGCCUACGAGUUACCGUUGCUAGCAAGGUUAAUCGAUUCAGUCGAGGAUCCGUAGCGAAAGCGAGUCUGAAUAGGGCGUAUAGUUAGUAGUGGUAGACGCGAAACCGUGUGAUCUACCCAUGAGCAGGUUGAAGCUUUGUUAACCCAAAGUGGAGGACCGAACCCGUUGACGUUGAAAAGUCUUGGGAUGACUUGUGGGUAGGGGUGAAAGGCCAAUCAAACUCGGAAAUAGCUCGUACUCCCCGAAAUGCAUUUAGGUGCAGCGUAUUAAUAGUUUUAUAGAGGUAGAGCUACUGAUUGGAUGCGGGG